CCUACGGGAGGCAGCAGUGGGGAAUCUUGCGCAAUGGGCGAAAGCCUGACGCAGCAACGCCGCGUGCGGGAAGAAGGCUUUCGGGCUGUAAACCGCUUUCAGCAGGAACGAAAAUGACGGUACCUGCAGAAGAAGGAGCGGCCAACUAUGUGCCAGCAGCCGCGGUGAUACAUAGGCUUCAAGCGUUGUCCGGAUUUAUUGGGCGUAAAGAGUUCGUAGGCGGUCGAGUAAGUCGGGUGUGAAAAUUCUGGGCUCAACCCAGAGACGCCACCCGAUACUGCUUGACUUGAGUUCGAUAGGGGAGUGGGGAAUUCCUAGUGUAGCGGUGAAAUGCGCAGAUAUUAGGAGGAACACCGGUGGCGAAGGCGCCACUCUGGAUCGAUACUGACGCUGAGGACGAAAGCAUGGGUAGCAAACAGGAUUAGAUACCCUGGUAGUCCAUGCCGUAAACGGUGGGCACUAGGUGUGGGUUUCUAUUAACGAAAUCCGCGCCGUCGCUAACGCAUAGUGCCGCCGUCGGUAGGUACGGUCGCGAGACGUAAACUACAACGAAGUAGACGCGUGAGACGUGCCGACGGACGACGACGAGGAGGUAGG
rnacentral:rRNA from 1 species